rnacentral:lncRNA from 1 species
UGAAAAAUAAUAAGAUCGAUGACAGUGUUAAAAAUCGACAGUUUUCAUUAAACUAAACUUUAAACUACCGAACUAUGUCGUUUUUAAUAUUAACACAUUCUCAGUAUUGAUGUAAAAUGAGUUCAAAGUAAGAACGGUACUGGCAUUUGUGUUAAAACUGCUGAAUUCGGCCAUUUCAGACUCAAAAUUCGUUUAUUAGCAACCCUUGCUUUGAUUAACAAUUUAUAACAGCUAUUACAUUUGUUAAUUCCGUUUAAUAUUUUCCUAACCAGAAAUCAAAGCAAGGGUUGCUAAUAAACGAAUUUUGGAAAAAAUGAUAAUAUUUGUCUGGCCUUUUUCACGUUUACGAGUAGCCUCCCUUGAAGCUAGGUGCUCGUUGCCAGGCAAUUUUAUAGGUGGCGCCACUGUCAACAUGUGGAUGUGAAAACGAAAGUAGAUUAUUUAUCGUGGAAUAAUUACAAUUGUUUACCCUUCUACGUGGAAUUUAUAUGGUAAUGGUAUGAAUUGAGAUGAUUUAUUUAGUUACCUUCAACUGGUCAGUGGUCAACAAGGGAGUAUUAUUGUGUGUCUUGAAACAUGGAAUGCCCCAAAACAACCAGUAUGAUAAGAAGGCCCGAGUAUACAGCUUCCCAAAAUGUUGAAAGACUAAGCUGUUUUUUCUAAGGACUUGUAUACUAUCUAGUUUGAAAUUAGCCAUGGACAAUGAAUUUGGAGGUGCAUGCUGGAGCAUCAGAAAUUACAGACUUGGAAUAAAUAUUUGCAUAAUAUACAAGUAACAUUUACUGAAAAAUGACUAAUGUUUGUUAAUAAAGUGCAAUAUCCAUUUUUGUAACAGUUACAUGGGAUAGUUACAGUGUUGAAAGAGACUACCAGUGUUACAUUUCAAUCUAAGUUACAGUGUGGAUGCUAAUUCUAAAUUCUUGAUAGUCAAGUGUUUUUAAUAACUUAUGGAUACUAAUUAUUUAUCAAACUGUUUAAUUUAUCACAUUCCUACAUCAUUAUUUUACAUAAAAUGUUUGUGGUUAUAUAAU